rnacentral:rRNA from 1 species
AGAGAUGUGUGAUGACGCAUAUCAAUAAGCGGAGGAAAAGAAACUAACAAGGAUUCCCUUAGUAACGGCGAGUGAAGCGGGAAGAGCUCAAAUUUGAAAUCUUCAAGGUUCUACCUUGACGAAUUGUAGUUUAAAGAAGUGUUUUCUGUUAGUGGAGUGGCAAAAGUUCUUUGGAAUAGGACAUCAUAGAGGGUGAGAAUCCCGUAUUUGGUCAUUCCUCCUAGCGUUGUGAUACACUUUCAACGAGUCGGAUUGUUUGGGAAUGCAGUCCAAAAUGGGUGGUAAAUUUCAUCUAAAGCUAAAUAUUGGCGAGAGACCGAUAGCGAACAAGUACCGUGAGGGAAAGAUGAAAAGAACUUUGAAAAGAGAGUUAAACAGUACGUGAAAUUGUCAAAAGGGAAGCGUUUGACACCAGUGUUGUUUUUCCGAAAAUCAAUUACGAAUGUUUUGUUUUUGAGGAGUUAUGACUUCAUCGGCUUGCUUCUCUCUUUACUGAAACUUUCUUAAUGCACUUUUCGGUUAACAAGUCAACAUCAAUUUCUUUUGUUGUAAAAGGGUAUGAGGAAGGUGGCUUUCUUUUCGGAGAAAGUGUUUAUAGCCUUGUAGCCUCUGCAAUCGGAGAGAUUGAGGUCUGCAGCGUAGAUCCUUCGGGGUUAGAUACAUUUGUGCUAAGUUAUAGCUUUUCAUAGACAACUUGUUGACUAUGUUAGUCUUGUAGCUUACUCGCUUAUGCUAUUUUACCUACGCUUAGGAUGUUGACAGCAGUAUAGACUGU